ACUCGACAACUCUUAGACUCAGACUUAGAACUCUUACAGUUAAUGGAGGCACCGCUGGGAUACUGAUCGAUCCUUGAAGUAUAUUUGAUGCAUCGCAAGGAAAGAUAAAGAGAGGUUAGUUGCUCAUCUAAUUCUCUUUAUGGGAUUCUGUUGUGCAAACCUGCCGAGUCUAAGAGCUAUAUCUGCGGACCCAUUUCGUUCAUUUUUCUUGACUGCAGCAAGAGAACGAAUUUGGGGCGGUACGGUGGUUUAACCGUGUGUGAGGAAUGAGCGCGCGCUCUGUGUUUGAGAAUGGCGAUUUGCGGCAUUAAAUGUGUUGUUCACUGAAGGGGUUUACCGACAGUGUAGAUAAUUCUGCGUAGCAAGUACACUUUGCGGGGUUUACCGGAGGUGUAUUGCGGGCGCUUUCAGGGUUUACUGAAGCGCAACAGUUUUUGAGACACGCGCUGUCAGGGAUUACUGCAGCGUGCUGGUCAGAUCUGUAUGUCGAUUCUCUGUUUUGAUAUAGGCUCUGGGAUGGACUCGGCAGUCUUGACACUGGCAGAAUUCCACCUUGCGACUAAAUUCUAAAUCCAUAUAUUUUGACAAUUGUUUGAAUGUGGCAGAAUACCACAUUGUUACUGGCUUUCAAUUUUGUAUAAUUGUUAUAAUUGUCAGACGGCUGAUCAAAUUAAACGAAUUAAGAGUAAAGAGAACACCACCAAAUUUAACAAUUUAAUUAAACAAUUUAAUUAAGUGAAUUUAAUUAAGUGUAUUUAAUUGAGUGUAUCUGAAUUGAAUAAAACUUUUUCUUUGUUGGGGGUGUCAACACACAAAGUAAUGGCUCAUGUGUAUGUAAAAGGAGCUCUUAAUGAAACUCUCACUGCUCAAGUAGCGAUGUUAGGCAUCGGAAAUAAAGAAAAGAUUAAACAGAAAAUGGUAAAGAUGAAUUUAAAGAAAUAUGGGGUCCGUAGGCAGUGUGAAUGGGGGUGAUGAAGGAAGAUAAUAAGAUAAUGAUCCUAAGAAACAAAAGAAAUAUGCACGAGUUUUUUGUGUUGUUUGAGGAUUGUGCAAGCAAAAGGUAUUUUAACAUAUCGCAAUGGAAGAAUAGUUUAUGUGGAUAAACUGGCACAAGCCACUAGAGAUGCUACGCAAGAUAUGUGGGAUUUAUUAGACAUUGUAACUAAGGAACCAAGAGCAGAUACAGGGAGAGUUCCUAAAAUUGAUGAUAUUUAUAGCUGGCAUGAAUAUGCUUCAAAACUGAAAGCAGCGAUUGCCAAGGCAGGGAGACGUGACGAAUGUUCUGAAAACGGUGGUAUACAGGUUGCCGCUAUUUCUCCUGGGCACCUGGAGGAAACUGAGAAUGAGUGGGGCGAGAAUGUGAAACUGCGUUCAAAACUACCCCGCUAUAGUGAAAUUGAUCAGGAAUCGACAGCGGCUGGUCAAGUGGGGGUUUAUCGAUCUAUGGGUGUGCGAGAUUUGACUAGUAUUGUUAAUACACUGCCACUCAUGAAAUCUAACAGUACCAAUUCUGAAUUUUGGGAUCAUUUGUGGGUAAUGGCAAGAGCCAACCGCCUAGCAGUAAAAGAUAAAAGAUCCGUUUUCAAUUUGGGAGCAAGUCUGCCCGUCUACAUACACGGGACAGAUCAUCUCACCCCUCCUUUACAGCCACCAGCGAAUGAAGAUGAUUACGCAACUCAGUACAGAGUGCUGCGUACUGAAGUACAGCGUGCAGUUGGAAAUGGAAUUCAAACUUUCACUAAUGUGACAAUGAUUAGGCAGGGUCCUAAUGAACCAUUUGUUGAUUACACUGAGCGAUUCACAAAGGCACUGAAAGAAUUUGUGGCAGCACGAUGGGGGCCUGACUUAGAUUAUCCAAUCAUGCUCCACACUGCGCAGUUAAAUAUGAAUGCUAAAUUUACACAGUUGUUUCAUUCUUCUCUGUCAACAAUUAUUGACUGAUCUUCUUUUGUUGCAUGGGGGACACGGGCUCAAGACAUCGUGGAACAACAAAAGAAGGGACUGGUUGCUGCAGUUGGUCAGACCUCUGCUCCAGCAUUUCGUUGUUAUCAUUGCCAGCGCGAUGGUCACUACGCAAACAGGUGCCCUGAUCGAAAUUUAGAGAAAUUUCAGAAAGCCUAGUUCCUCUUUUCAACAACAGCAGACACCAAAACCACUUCCUCGAGAUUGUGAUUAAAAAUAACCCUGGUGCAGAGAAGCAGGGUGCUGACCUGGAAGCAGGUUGAAAAACUGACAAGAGCUUUUGAGAAUACAGACUGACAGAUAAUGGCCUCUAUUUUAUAUGAACACGAAGACCCUCGUCUAUUUUUACAUGCUAACCUAGGAGGCCAGGAUAGCUACAUUCUUGUGGGCCCCUGGGUCUGCGUUUCUGUGACUGACUUUGAUCUGCCUUUAACAAAUAAACAAAUGAAUCUUCAAGGUAUAUCUGGUUGCAGUCUUUUCACACAGUCUCUAUUGAUUCCUCCAAUAAUAUAUCCAUUUGAACAGCCUUUUUGUGUGCAAUUCUGGGUUGGAGAAAGCCAAGUUGGCAUGGUAAUGGGAAUGGAUAUAUUGAGUAAAUUGGAAGCAGAUGUUUUGCUGACUAGGGGUCAAUUAAUUAGUCAGUAUUUACCAAUUCCCAUACCAGUGUUUAAUAAAACUGGAAUUCCUAAAUUAAGCCUUGGAGCUAUCACAGCUAAUGAAAAGGAGUCUACUGAUUCCUCAAUGAUACAAUAUUUUUCUGAGAAAUUUCCAAAUUUGUGGUCAACUUCUAAACAUGAUGUUGGUCUUUGCAGGAUUGAACUUUGAAUGUUUCAGGUACAUCCUAUACAUCCUCCAGUAUUCCAGUAUCCUCUUCAGAGAGAAGCAGAGAGAGCUGAACAGGAAAUUGUGAACCAGCUUCAGGAAUCAGGGAUUUUGGUAAGGUGUACUUCCUCAACGAACUUACCUAUGCAGCCUGUAAAAAAAAAAAAAAAAAAAAAAAAAAAAAAAAAAAAAAAAAAAAAAAAAAAAAAAAAAAAAAAAAAAAAAAAGCCAGAUGGUAGCUAUAGGUUAACUAUAGACUACACCGCAUUGAAUGCUGUGA